rnacentral:rRNA from 1 species
GGUGAGUAAUGUCUGGGAAACUGCCUGAUGGAGGGGGAUAACUACUGGAAACGGUAGCUAAUACCGCAUAACGUCGCAAGACCAAAGAGGGGGACCUUCGGGCCUCUUGCCAUCGGAUGUGCCCAGAUGGGAUUAGCUAGUAGGUGGGGUAACGGCUCACCUAGGCGACGAUCCCUAGCUGGUCUGAGAGGAUGACCAGCCACACUGGAACUGAGACACGGUCCAGACUCCUACGGGAGGCAGCAGUGGGGAAUAUUGCACAAUGGGCGCAAGCCUGAUGCAGCCAUGCCGCGUGUAUGAAGAAGGCCUUCGGGUUGUAAAGUACUUUCAGCGGGGAGGAAGGGAGUAAAGUUAAUACCUUUGCUCAUUGACGUUACCCGCAGAAGAAGCACCGGCUAACUCCGUGCCAGCAGCCGCGGUAAUACGGAGGGUGCAAGCGUUAAUCGGAAUUACUGGGCGUAAAGCGCAC